CCUACGGGGGGCAGCAGUGGGGAAUAUUGCACAAUGGGCGCAAGCCUGAUGCAGCCAUGCCGCGUGUGUGAAGAAGGCCUUCGGGUUGUAAAGCACUUUCAGCGGGGAGGAAGGCGGUGAGGUUAAUAACCUCAUCGAUUGACGUUACCCGCAGAAGAAGCACCGGCUAACUCCGUGCCAGCAGCCGCGGUAAUACGGAGGGUGCAAGCGUUAAUCGGAAUUACUGGGCGUAAAGCGCACGCAGGCGGUCUGUCAAGUCGGAUGUGAAAGCCCCGGGCUCAACCUGGGAACUGCAUUCGAAACUGGCAGGCUAGAGGCUUGUAGAGGGGGGUAGAAUUCCAGGUGUAGCGGUGAAAUGCGUAGAGAUCUGGAGGAAUACCGGUGGCGAAGGCGGCCCCCUGGACAAAGACUGACGCUCAGGUGCGAAAGCGUGGGGAGCAAACAGGAUUAGAUACCCGGGUAGUC
rnacentral:rRNA from 1 species